rnacentral:lncRNA from 1 species
AACUGGGAAGCAAACACUCAAAUAUAUGAGUGUAUGGAAGACAUUAUCAUUUAAACUACCACGGUAGGUAGGUAGGUAGGUAGGUAGGUAGGUAGGUAGGUAGGUAGGUAGGUAGAUAGAUAGAUAGAUAGAUAGAUAGAUAGAUAGAUAGAUAGAUAGAUAGAUAGAUAGAUAGAAAUGUAUACACACAUACAAAUACACACACAUGCAUGUUAAAAAGUUAAAGCUGCCCAUUAUUACCAAAUUUUAUUCCAUUUUGUUUCUCACCAAAUAUAUUCAUGUCCCAAAGCUGCAAUAUAUAUUUUUCCUCUCUUUUAAUAUCUUUUCCUAUGGGUAAUCUUACGGCAUAUAAAAUACCUAAGAAAAAAAUCAUUGCUUGUAGAGUUUAGAUUCUAUUGCAUGGAAAAUGAGCAUAAUAAAUGAGAUGGUGGUGCAGCAAAGACUUCAAGAAAGUUCUAAGGAGUCCUGUAGUUUUAAGCACAGGGGUCAUGGGGGUUCCAUCAGUAAAACGUUAGGGAGAAGAGUUAAAGCACAGGAGCAGCAAGUUCCUCCACUGGCAGUUAGAAUGGCAUACGUAAAGAUGGAGAGACUCUGCGGCCUGGAAGAGAUGUAGAGAAUUAAAGGUUGACAAUAAACAGUUGGUGAGAACCCCAAAUCCCACAGGACCUGUGGGUUGUGGUAAACUCUUUAAAUUUUUCUCCGAACAAAAAUUUUAAAAUGGUGAAGGUAUUUGAAUGACAUUCUGAUGGGCACUCUCUGACUGUAGUGGCUGGAUUCCUGUCAGGAAUGGUGAAGAAGAGUCAAGGCUAAGGCACAAGACAGAAAAGGUAGUUCGUGUCAGAGCUAGUACUAUCUUUGAUCAUAGCAAUAGUAGCAGAGUGGCAAGGAUUUAUGUUUUGCAUUUCAAGAUUAAAAGAGUUCUUGCAGCAGGACAGUGGUGGCACAUGCCUUUAAUCCCAGCACUUGGGAGGCAGAGGCAGGCAGAUUUCUGAGUUCAAGGCUAGCCUGGUCUACAGAGUGAGUUCCAGGACAGCCAGGGCUACACAGUGAAACCCUGUCUCAAAAAAAAAAAAACAAGCAAGUAAACAAACAAACAAACAAACAAACAAACAAACAAACAAUAAAUAAAUAAAUAAAUAAAUAAAUAAAAGCGUUCUUGCUAGGAUUGGGAAUGAGAUAAGAGAAUAAGGAGAACUGAGGAUAAGAAGCAAGAAGAAAUGAGUCACCAUUCAUAGAACUAGGAAAUAUUACAAAAAUAAAUGCAAAAAUAAAUGAUAACCAAAGACACUAGAAAUGCAAUACAGAGACUACACCUCUGAAAUGCCUUUUAAACACCUACAUAUCAAGUAGGUAUGUUAAUGGAUGAGUCUAUAGACCAAGGGAGCAAUCUGUACGACAAUGUAGAUUUGGCGAAGUCAACAACCAGAUGGUGCAGUGUGCUAUUAAACCAGAAGCAGUCAAUCAAGAGUAUCAGGUGAGAAACUAGGAAGUUCUGAAUAACAUCAAGGGAGAGAUGUGAGGAGGAGCCAUCAAAGGAUGCUGGGCAGGAAGAUCAAGGGGAAAUAAUGACAGUCAUGUUUGCUGGUGUCCUAGAAGCCCAGAGAAGAAUGAGUUUUGGAGCAAGAAAUUGGUGGAGCAGAACCAAUAUCAUGAGGUAUGAUCAGAUGAACAGUGACCCGCAGAGGCUGACGAGAUGACUGUGAAGGCACUUGCAACAAGACACUAGUGACCUGGAUUCCAUCCAAAGUGUCUCCAUAAAGUUAGAAAGAACAAACUCACAGGUUCCCUCUGAUUUCCACAGGUGCAUUCUGGUUCUCCAAAAGAACACUGCCUGCCCUUCACCUGAUAGCCAUGUCUCUGUACACUGCAAAGUCUUUUAUUUGCAGUUUCAGUCUUCAUAAUCAACCAGCCAGUCAGUUCUGAAAGACAUGACAAGACACUUCUUUACCAAGCAGCUCAGUCUUGAAUUUCAACCUAGGCUUGCACAGAUAUCAAGAGGGGUAUGUCUACACAUAGCUCCAUGUGUUCCCUGACAGUGUUUCCACCUGGAUAAAUGCAAUCGUUACCUAAGGAAGCUGUCUUAGCUAGGGUUUUAUUGCUGUGAAGGGUCAUCAUGCCCACAGCCACCCUUAUAAAGGAAAAUAUUCAAUUUGAGUCUGGCUUACAGUUUCAGAGGUUUCACCCAUUGUCACCAUGGCAGAAAGCAUGGCAGUGUGCAGGCAGAUGUGGUACUGGAAAAUGAGCUGAGAGUUCUACAUCUGGAUCUGCAGGCAAUAGGGUGAGACAGAGACACACUAGGCCUAACUUGUGCUUCUGGAAUCUCCAAGCCUAGUCCCGGUGACAUAGUUCCUCCAAUAAGGUCACAACUACUCCAUCAACACCACAUCUCCUAAUACUGCCACUCCCUAUAGCCAAGCAUUCAAACACAUGAAUCUAUGGGGGCCGUUCCUAUUCAAACCACCACAGGAGGCUUCUUCUAAUUGUUGUCAAGAACUAUCACAUGCCUUGUUUAGCCUUCUAGAAAUCUUACAUGUUUUUCUUACCAUUCAUUUUUUAAUUUAAAUCACUCUCAAAUAUCUCAAGAAUGUCAUGCAAAAACUCUGCUUCUGGGUUCAAACCUGUACAUUGCUGUCAUUGGGUUGGUUGGUUGCCUGCCUUUUAUGUAGCCUUAAAAGAAGAAGGUGUGUUUCUGUAAGCCAGUAACUUCUUAGUCCAUCCCCUCCCCCUCUCCCUCUCACUCUCCCUCUCAUAUAUAUGAAGGUCACUGUUUCUGUCAAAUAUAUAUAUUUGAGAGCCAAUCCAGAUAAUCAUUUUUGUAAACAAUAAAAAUUCAUGAAAGC